UACGUAGGGGGCAAGCGUUGUCCGGAUUUAUUGGGCGUAAAGAGCGUGUAGGCGGCCAUACAGGUCAGCUGUGAAAACUCGAGGCUCAACCUCGAGACGUCGGUUGAAACCGUAUGGCUAGAGUCCGGAAGAGGAGAGUGGAAUUCCCGGUGUAGCGGUGAAAUGCGCAGAUAUCGGGAAGAACAUCGGUGGCGAAGGCGCUCUACUGGACCACAACUGACACUCAGGGACGAAAGCUAGGGGAGCGAAUGGG
rnacentral:rRNA from 1 species